CAUGGAGAUGAAUUAGAAUUUGUUUACUCAAUUGGGCUUCAGAUAUUGAGGCCUUGGAUGGUAAUGGGCUUAGAUAUUAGACCCAAUGGAAGAUAAUGCCAAAGUAAGAAGAGGCUUGUAAUAAAUGUAGGGAAGAAUUGAGAAAAAUAGGGGACUCAGGACCAUCUGCUUUAAUUUCUACCUUCUUUUCUUUGUCUAGAGCUAAGAAUUGUACCAUUGAAUUAUAUAAGCUAUACAAAUAGACUGCCAAUUUGGCAGCCCUUCCUCAGAUUUCUCAGGGAAAAAAAAGGCUGCACCCCAAUUUCCUGUGUCAGAGAUUGUUCAUAAUCAAAUCUCACAAAACAACCUUCCAAUACUCAUUAUCUUUAAUCCCAAUAUAAUAAAACUACCCUUUUAUUUUACUACGUUGGAGAAGCUCAACUACUUGAGAGGUUUGACAACAAUAUUUAUGUUAGAUGUGCUGUUUCUUUUACUUGAACCGUUCAUGUCAAAACAUAUUGUUUUCUUAUCCAACGUCCAUGUAGUCAUAAUUUGAAAUUUGUCUUCAACUAUAUUGGAAUGUCUUCAAUCUUAUAGUUACCACUUCGAACGAGUAUAAGAGUCGCGAUGUAUAAACUCUCCAACUUUAGAAGGCCAUAUGAUCUUAAUCUAUUUUAAAAAAGAUAUAGUAUUAAGUGUAAAUUGAAAUUUUGAUCUCAAAGUUGAUAGUACAAACACUAUGUCAGUUGAGCUAAGCUCAUGUUGACAGUUAACGAAUUACAUAAUUUUUAUUACCGUUUUUUUAUAUCGUUUAUGCUUUUGUGUCUGUCUUUAUUUGUUGAUUUUCAUCACAAUUUAUGAUGUUUUUAACAUUAUUCAAAUAAUAUCAAUAGUUUGUGUUAAAAAGGGAAGGUAGGGAGGUAUGCAUCAAUUUAAAUGGUAAGUAUAAAGGGGAAGAAGAUGGUACUUAGAACAAGACCAAAAAGGGCAGGGCCCAGUUUAGAGCAGCUACACAUUUAAAUGUUGGGCUAAGUCUAAGUCUAAGUCUAUUUUGCCUAAGCUAAGUGCCUCCUCUAAAGCUUGGGGCCCAAAAAUUGUCCUACCACAAACUUUUGUUUAUGGUUAACAUUAAGGUUUUGUAGGGCUAAAAUGAGGAGGAACAAGAGACAUGGAGCAGCAAACAGACAAAUUAUUCACAGUGAUUGAAGAUAAUAAAAAGAAAGAAGAAUGAGUUCUUCUUUUUUCUUUGAAUAGCAGAUAAGACUUGUGAGUAAACGAACCAGGUAAAGCG
rnacentral:lncRNA from 1 species